rnacentral:lncRNA from 11 species
CAGAGAGCAAGGCGGAUUUUUGCAGGCGCAGAUCGUAAUUGAGAGGAAGGAAAGAAGGGGCGUGUCUGUCCGCCUGCCUCUCCGCUUCUCUCGGGCCCCGCCCCUCUGUGGGUCUCCUGCCCGCGGCCGCCAUGUUUCUUGAGGGCGGAAGUGCAGCGAGAGGCGGGAAGACUGGGGGGGAGGGGCCGGGCGAGGCUCUUUCCUGUCAGAAGGAAGGAAGGAAAGAAGGACAGAGGAGGAGGAGGCCUUUCGGAGAGAGAGAGAGAGAGAGGAGGAGUAUUUAUACCCCGCCCUUCUCGCCCCGAAGGGGACUCAGAGCGGCUUACAGAACACGCAUACGGCAAACAUUCAGUGCCUGAUUCUACAAUUAACAAGGACAGACAACGCAGACACAGGGAAAAACAACUUUUCCCAUCUUAUUUUCGGCAUCUUGGAGGCUGUGCUCAACACUGGACAUGGGGGGAGGGGGGGGCUGUCACUUCAUCUUCCAUGUUGAGGAGCUUCUUCCCAAUCAGUGUCCUUAAGGGCAUCUUUAUUACCUCC